CAUUUCCUUUCAUGUGCUGUG
rnacentral:miRNA from 1 species